rnacentral:lncRNA from 1 species
ACCUAAUAAGCUUUGAUAUCUGGGUUUGAGAUACUCCAUGGUUUCUCAGAAGCUCUAAAACGGAGUCUGCUCUUUCUGGGGAUUGCAACUCGACCCACUUAGAAGCUAAAAUCGCUCCUUCUGGGGACAACCCACAAGAGUUUAUGAGGUAAGUGACUGUGAAAUUGUGUUGGUUUUCUGAGAUUUCUGAGGUGAUGUGUCUGCAGAGCAACUGACUCUGAAGAGAAAAAUGUGAGGGUUUUGGAUCUCCAACCAACACUCUGUUUGUUUUGGAAGCAAAUGUACAAGAAAAUAUUGAGUGAACCAAUCUGAAGGUCUUCAAAUUGCAGAGUUGAAUCAUGUUAGAGGUUGAUGAUGAACAAUUUCUACAGGAAAACUUAAAGCCCUAGCUGAUUCUCUGCCUUCAGAAAAUAUGCAGUUCUCGGCAUUCUAAAAAGAUCUGAACCAUCCAAAUAAAAUUGCCUGGUAUAGGAUAAACCAUUGCAGCUAGGGUAAGUUUUCUUACCAUUUUCACAACUGACGGUCACUGGCUUACUGCUGCUAUCCAUGGUGGUAGGAAAUAUUAUGCCAGAAAAACCUCUUCAGUCUUCAUAGGUACAAAUCAAAGCAAAGCAAUUACUCCAAUCCCAGGCAAUAAGAAAACCCAAAAAAAGGGGUUGAAUUUCAAACUUGAAAACAGUCGAGGGCAUUUGUUUCUUUGGGACGAAGGGCGAAGAACAUUAGGGCGAUGAUGCUUUGGUUUAUAGACGCUCGACGUGGUUACUCUCAGGUGCGCCCCAGAAGCAAUUUGAAAGCCUCUUCUUGCAAUUGGAAUUUGGAUGUAUGAGUUAUUUACAUUUUACUGUGUGUUGUCAAAAUCCUCGUGGUUUUGAAAAUUACACCUUCUCCUGAAGUCUCAAAUUAUUCUCAUUAAAUCCGAUUUUGUUUUGUCUGUUUCCUUGCAUAGACAGACUUACUUUCUUUUUAUGGGCGUGAGACUCUUGUUUAGGGAUUUUUGUGCUUUGAAUAGAAGAUCUUUUCAACCACCAAAAAAAAAAAAAAAAUCUGAUUUUGUUAAUUUUUCGUCUAAAAGUUAAUGAUUUCAUAUAUAAAAAAGCUUACGCAAAUAACAACUUUAAUUUCGGUUCGAUGAAAAGAAUAGUUUGUAAGGGACUUGAAGCUUAAGUAGUUAAGAUGAUAUAUCCUGUCCUUAGUUCAAUUCCCUCUUCCUGAAUUUCGCUUGUAAAAAUCUAAGUACUAAAUUCCUUAUUAUUUAAAGAUAUUUUUUUAUAUAUAAAAUCAUCAAUUAUAGAAGGAAAAAUCAAUGGAAAAAGGUUUCGAGAAAACAAUUUAUAACUUUAUGGAGUAUUUGUGUAAUUUCUGGAACUACAAAGGAUUUAGUAAAAGCACAAGUUUUUGUGUAAAUAACUCUGAAAUGUAUCUGCAUAAUAAAAUAAAUAAAUAAAACUUUGAAAUGUAUAGUAUACCUGUCAUAUUUUAUUUUUCUAUUUUUGUACUUUAAAUGUCUGUUUAUCCUUUUUAUAUUUGAUUGUGUUGAGUGAAAUGCCUCAUUAAUCUUUUAUCCAUAUAAUGGUUUCUGGAUUAACUUUCUUUUGUGUGAGCGUGUCAUUGUUACAAAUAAUACUCUAAUAAAUUUGAAUGACUUUAUAUACUUGAGCCCCAACUAAUAGACUUUAAACAAACGAUUGUGAUUUUGGGUGGGAAACCUCCCAAGAGAGUUAUUUUCUAUGUCUCAGACCGGUGAGGAUUUCACAAUUUAUCUAGACAAAACGGUAAGUAAAGCAAAAUACACAAAUUUAUGGAGAAUAUAACAGACUAAUCCAAGCAGAAUUGCCUUAAGCACAAAGCAUAAAAUGAAUUGCUAAAUCUAGACAAGCCUCAAAUUGUUAUACUUUGACUUAUGCUUAAAAAUACAGUCAAAAUGAUGUUUUAAGGCCAGGCUGGACUGGAUGUUUCUGCACUAGAAUUGCACGUCAAUACCAUCAACUAACAGAGAUUAGUUGUAAAUAAAUACCAAUGUUGGUAUUGGCAAAGCUAUAAAAAAGUUGAGCCAAUAUGUAGGCUGGAAAAGUAAGCAGAACUGCAGGCAAGUACCUGUUCUGGUUGGUUUUGUAUGAUGUGGAAGCUUUCUAUACAAUUUUAAGACAUCGAGGUAUCUUUAUAAACUUGUUGAGGUUUUCAUAUGAUGAAAGACCUGACUUCUAUUUGUGUUAUCUGAUUUGCUGAACCAAAUUUGUAAGAGAAUUCAAUCUUUUUUAAUUUCUGAUUGAAAUAUCUUGUCUAUAUUGUAAAAAGAAUCUCGUCUUCUUUUUGGUUGUCUAAGCUUUUGUUUGAGUUGGGUUGCUCCCUACAGAAGAUUGCUUGCUUGCCUUUGGUAAUUGCACGUUCGUGUGAUCUUUGAUUUCUUUUGAUCAGUCUGGACUAAUUGUUGAGUUUUGUUUCAUUGGUUGUUUGGUUGGGUCCCUUCUCCAGUCCAUACAUUCUUGUAUUUAUAAGAGAAAAAUGAUAAUGAAGAAAUUUGGAUAUUUUUUUAUUUUAGACUAACCCCCAUUUAAUGCAAAAGUGGCAAAAGCUUUGUCAUUCCAAUGCAUUGAUCAUUUUUGGCACCUGCUCAUCAAUACUCCUGAAUGUCUCCUGAUCGUUCAUUUUGCAAGAACUAGACUGAAGCGAGCAAUAAUUCUCAGAUUCUUCCAGUGUUGGUACCAUAAAUAUCCAAAUACUCUGGUAGAAGAAAAUAUCUGAUGAUCAUAUAAUAAAUAGUCGUGAUUCUCAAGCAAGUCUGACUUUAACUUUACAGCUUUUAAGGUCAUCAAUUUUCCUUGGAGUUUAACGGUGAGGAAAUAUCCUGAAAAACUUUAACAGCUAAGAAAUUGUGAAUUUUGGACUGAAACUAAUUGAAAUAAUUUGAUUUUUGGAUUAAAUCACCAUUGGUGGUAAUUUAUUUACUAAUUUAUCCAAAAAUCAUGAAUUAAUUAAAUUCCCCUUUGGCUAAAUAGUAUGGACUAGUCACCAUUUUUGGUAAACAAAGCCCAGCGUUUUGUAAAAUGAACCCAAUAGCCCAUUUUGGCUAGUGCAUAGGAUUUAACCCCAAACAAUACAUGUUCGGCUAGAAUUUAAAUAAAAAAAUGUAUUGUAUUAUUAAUGUAUUGUAUUAUUAUUCUAUUUUUGAUAAGAUUCUAGAAAUUUGUCUAAUUUUAUACCGGAUGUUUUAGGGGCAUUCUCUUAUGUGCAUUUAGGGGCUUAAUAAAAUAGUCUCACUUCGUCAUCUUUUUAUUGCACAAACGCUUAUUUACACAUCAAAAUUCAACACUUCGGUAUUUCUCUUCCAAUUUCAGCCAUAAUUAUUGUUGUCUCAAAAAGGCUUCAAACACGACUCCAAAAAUGCGUGGAUGCAUAGUGGCUUGGAACGCAAUCCUAAAAUGUUUUAGUUGCUUGAUCGGAUCAUAAUUUCAUUCAGAGUGACAAUUUUUUUUUUUUCAACAACUCUUCUACAACAUUUGACCAUUUUUUCCUUGUUGAAAGUCACAAGUUUUGUCAACUUACAAAAAAAACUAGGCCAAAAUUGUUAUAAAAAUGAUAGGUUUCCUUUUCCAUAAGCCAAAUACAAAACAUUUAUAUUAUAAAUGACAUAUAAACAAAUUAGAAAACUUUUAAGGUAUAAUGAAAUUGAAGAAAAAUAAAUUAAUAGAUAAGUGAAAACAAAAUAAAUUAUAAGUAAGAAGGUGAGUUUGGUACGUUGAAGCACAUCAAAGAUGUUGUCCUAAAGCCUUUGUAGCCUCCCUAAGCGCAAGUAUUGAUGGUCUACAAGACUCCAAGAUACGACCCCUUGUACACAAAUUCAAGAUCCGUUAUGAGCACGUUUAUAGACGGAUACAUAGGUAUCUAAGUCACAGAACCGUUGCCAAAAUAAUAAUAUAAAAUAGAGAAUAAAAGUAGAAAAGGAGAGAAUUAGUUUGUGGUGGUGAUUGUGGUAUGUGAUAUUCUAAUGGUGUAUUGUGUUUUUUUAAAUGUGAAGGAGGAGUGGCCUUUUAUAGGCAUCCAAUAAUAUGUAACAUUCACCACAUUAAACUAGAAAAUUAAGGCAUUCAAUAUAGAACUCAUACCUAAAAAUUAAAUAUGUUAACCUCCAUAAUAAAUAAAAGAAAACAGCCAAAUUAAUUAAUUAAAUAAAAGCGGUUAAUUUUUAAAACCUUUUUAAAAUUCCAACAAAAAUAAUAAUACUAAAGUCCUUAUCUAACCUCUGUAUCUCUUUAAUUGAGAGAUAUUUGAGGUUGACCCUUGUAGGAAGCAAGUGCUGAGUUCUUCAAAGACUAGGUAGAUAGAUAAAUCAAAAUUUUACCCAAUUUCUCAGGAUUUGGAUUUCAGCAAAGUGUUUGGUAGCAUUCUUGCCCUCCAUGAAUGCUGGGGGAAUUGAUUCUAAACAAUUUUAAUCAGGGGAAAGAAAACCCUCACUCCAACAAAUAUUGUGUGUUCGAACAUUGAGGACUAAAAAUAUGUGUUUUAGCUAAAAUAUAGAAGAAGCAGAGAAAAAAAAUUUGGGAGAUUUUAGUGGCACCCCAUUAUUUGCUCUUUGCACCUCACAUUUUCUUUACACCCCACUGAAUUUUAGUAAAAUUUAAAACUACUCACUAUACCCCAUUUUUCUUCCUAAAUUGCCCUCAUGAACCUCAUUUUCUAACUUACUGUGUACACCCCAUCCCAUAUUAUACACCACCCAUCGAAAACCCCCUUCUCUUUCAGACACACCCCAUCUCAUAUAAAACCCCACCCAAUUGAAAAUCCCUCAUCUUGCAAACAUACCCUAUCAGAGGUUUGCAACAAACUCCAUCGCACACCCCAUCAGAGGUUUGCAACAAACUCCAUCGCACAACCCCAUCCAAUUUGAAACAGAGCCAUCGUAGCAAACCCCAACCCCAUCGUAAACCCCCAUCGCACACCCCAUCGUCAACCCCAAACGCCUCACCCCAUCGCAAACCACCAUCGCCUCAGCAUCGCAAACCCUCAUUGUCGAUCUGUCAAGUUUUCACAAUUCCAUCUCACCUUAAUAUCCUUUGAAAAUCCAAGGUUUGAUUUCAAUUUUGAUUUUUAUAUUUAUGUUUCUAAGUGUUGAUUAAGCCUAGGUUUGACCAAAGUUUGAUUUUAAUUUUUGAUUUCAACUUUGGGGGUGUAUAGUUCAAACCUGGUUUUACGAAACUGGAUUUUACUUUUGGUAGGUUACCACUGAAAUGGUUACAUUAUUUCAGUGGUAGUCCGCCGAAUUUGAACUUGGUCUGUAUAAAAAUUAAUUUUACUUUCGGUGGGUUACCAUCGGAAUCGUUGCCUUGUUUCGGUGGUAGUCCGCCGAUUUUGUUUCCGUUUUUCAGUAGUACUCCAUUGAAUGUAUUUUCGUUUUUCAGUGGUACUCCACCGAAUAUGUUUAUGUUUUACAGUGAUUGUCCACCUAAUGUGUUUUCAUUUUUCACCGAUCAUCUACCGAAUCCUUUACUGAAUUUGUACUUAAUAUUGUUUUUUAGAUAUGAAGAGGACUCAUACUACUGAGGCUUCAUCAUCUCGACCUGAUAGACAACGUCUCACAGCCUCAACGAGGAGACAGAGAGUGGCUCCCCAAGAUCACUUUGAGGAUACUACAGAGGUUGAAGAUGUAGUUCCUACUCAUGAUAGUAAUGUUGAUGCGGAGGUUGAAAAUGUAGUGUUACUCAUGAUAGUAAUGUUGAGAUACAUGUUGAGCAUACUGAGCCAUCUUGAGUAGGUCCCAUUGAUCCAUCUUUACUUACGAGUUGUAAAACUUACAUAGCAGCUACAAUUUAGAAUCGUGGGAAACGAUAUCUAUUAGUUUUAUAGGUGCAAUCCAUGAUAAGUACAUGUGGAAAUGCACGCAAAAUCUCAAUAUUAAUAGGGUGUGUCUAAAACAAGUCAGUUACAAUAUCACUAGAUGUCCUAUGCCACUCAAUAUAAUUGUGUUCGGAUAACUUAGUAAGCAAUUGUUGCAUUUGUGUUCUCCCAUCAAAUUCUUUGGUUUUAUUUUCGGAUCCUAGCAUUGUAUAUUGUCUUCAUAGUUGAAACAUUCAUUGCAUCUCUAUCCUUCAGGAUGACCAACAUAUCUCUGGGUUUCACCAAACUCUAGACAUGUCCACCAAUAAGGCAUUCUCUUCUUCAGAAAGUCGCCCCACAAAUGAAUGACCUUGAAGAUACUUUGAAAUAGGAUGGUUGUGUACUCUACAAACCACCUCCAACUUCCAAUUAUCCCCAUCACAAAUAUUGACACCUUUUAACAAGAAUGGACAUCCACAUUUCUUAGUACCAAUGUCCCUAGCACAUUUUUUCGUAUCACUAUUUGCAUGCGACCUUACAUCAGUUGUCUCACUAGACUUGCAAGACUUAUAGUUACUGCUCCUUUCACAAGAAAGUAUUACUCGAGGUCUCCUCUUGUCCUUACCUCCAUAAUCAGACCUUCUAAUUAUAAUUACAAUAUUAUUAACUUCUCCUUUUGCAUGAGCCCAUUUAAAUAAUGCAUCUCUACCAUUAAAUAUCUACACAUAAAACUCAUGUUAUUUAAAGUUAAAAUUUGAAACACUAAUGUCACGUUGAUGAUACUAAAAAGGAUUUCAUACCAAAAAAAAAAAAAAACUCAAAUAAUUACCAAAUAAGUUAUGCAUUGAUCACUAUAGUCCAUUACACAUUUUGUUCCUACAUUGUUGCCUUUAGUAAGGGCGUCACCUUGUUUCUAUUCAUUCAAUAGAAGUAAGGUCAAAAUAGCUUACAUUAAAUUUAUGGUCCACAAUAAGUUACUGAAAAAUAAAUAUAUUUCGGUUCGUUGCCACAGAACUGCAUGAAAAAGUUCGGUAAUACACCACUGAACAUCAUUCCAUGUUAUGGUGGAUCUGAUCUCUACCGCAUCUUAAGUUAACGGCCGGUCAAACACAACUGAAAUAGGUGCAACAUUUCAGUGGCAUCCCACCAAAUGUACUUAUCGCAUUCAGUACUGAUGUGUUGAACUCAACCAGUGACCAUCAUGAAAUCCUAAACUUGAAAAAUGCCAAAAAAUAAAUUCAUACCUUAUUCAAGGCCUCUCUAACUUCAGUCUCACCCUUCAUGAAUAAAUACAAGAUAUAUUUCACUAAUAUAAACAUAUAAACCUCGUUAGGGUUGUAGGAACAUGAUGGUUUGAGAAAAAAAGCCUAACUGGGUUGUAGGAACAUAUGUGGGGUGUAUUGAGCAAUUUUAAUUUUAAAUUUUAAUUUUUUUUUAUCCUUAACGGUAAUUAUGUACAAGGGUAAAAUCGGUUAUUCAUGUUUAAAUUUAGUAUGGGGUGCAAAGAGCAAAUAAUGGGGUGCCAACAAAAUCUCCCAAAAAAUUUAGCCCAGCCCUAUAUAAAUUCCUUGUUCUGCCUUGUUUGGGUGGGUUGAGGAAAUUUGUGUGUGGAAGGGGGAAUGGAGGAAGGGCCUGUAAAGAGGGAAGGGGGAUUGGAUUUCAAGGUGGGCGGGGUUGGUUGGAGCUACUGGUGGUGCACAGAUGAUGGGGUAAGGUGAUAUUUUUUAUUUUCAAUUUUUAUUUUUUUUAAGAUUUUCUAUUUUUAAGAUACCCUUGAAAAUGGAAAGACUAAAAUACCCUUAAAAUAGAUGGAAAAUUAGAUGGUGUUAAAGUGAGAAGACAAAUCAUGAAUUUUGAAAAAUUAAGGUGACAUUUUGUCACACCCCAUUUUUUUUUUUUUAGUGGGAGUGUGAGGUAAAAGAAAAACUAAAACUAAAAAUUAAAUAUCAAGAAAGAUGAAGAUUGAACAUAAACUUCUAUUUAAACUAAAGUAAUUUACAUUGUAAUUUUACAAGAAAAAUAACAAGAAAGUAACAAACUUUCAACAAAACAUUCAAAACUAUCCACAACUCUUUCUUCUUGUUUCCUCGUCGCAAACUAAACUUCAGAUUCAAACCUUGCAAUAGAUUCAAUAAGGGGUGAGCACUACAUGCUCAGUAGGGGUCCUAUGUCUUCUGUGAUUAGUGAGAUUUAUAAUGUACAAUUUAUGCAAUGCAUGAAUGAACUUUAAUUUUUCCCAACAUGUUAAUCUAUAUAAUAGGGUAAGCAAAUCUGCAUGUCCCAUACCAUUCAUUUUACCACUGUGCUUCUGAAUGUCCCAUUAUAUAAACUAACACCCAUCUCAAUUAUCACUCAAUUCCCCUUUUGCUAGUCGUCUUGUCUACACUAUUGAUCUCCAAGCCCAAAUCACCAAAUCAACAAUUAUACCUCUGAUUUCCUAGUCUACUGUGCACACGGGCUCCCCUGAACUUGGUCCCUACAAUGGUCAGACUCAACUACACAAAAGAUCCUUCCCAUUACCCUCUUUUCCAUAAUUUCUUUGUCAACCCAAGAAUUCCAACCACUACCGACAACAUAUGAACAUGUCAAUAUUAAUCAAAUUAUAAUGAUAAUUGACAACAUGUAAACACCCAAUAUCAAGGAUAAUAAUCAAAUAAUAUUACAAAGCAUAAUAUAGUGUUCACAAUAUUUAAUUAAAUCAAUUUAUGUAAAGCAUCCCCAAGAAAAACCCCUACCUCAAAUCCCAAGCUAUUGUAUAACUCCCAGUUGCAAGUCCAAGCACUUUGAGCUUCUCCAAAAUCUCACCACACUUAAAUUCUCACUCUUUUCUUUCUUUUGUCUACAAUUUUUAGGAAACUAACGCAACUUGAAGAACUUAUGAUAUAUGAACUAUAAGGUAGGGCUAUUUAUAGCAAGCUAGAGUCGGCAAAGAUAUAGAUAAAAGUUUAAUAUUGUGCCACAUAACUAGCCUAUAGAUUGCUAGACUACUUGGGUGGCUUGAAAGUAAUCUGCCACACCAAAUAGCCUUAUGUAUUGGCUUUGUAGAGUGCUUAAGUUUAUAUAUAUAGGGAUACCUACUGUUCUUACACCUCAUGUGUAACGACCCGGUCCUAAAUAAAUUGAUAAUUAUUAAUUUAUGUAGAUAAAAGACCAUUUUACCCCUAGAAUAUUUUAUUGAGUUUAAAGUUGACUUUGUGACCAGAAAGGAAUUUGAGAAUUUCAGCUGUACCGUUGCGUAGAGCUUGAUGAGAUGAGUUCGUAGACACGUAGUGGACUCGAUUUGGAGUUGUAACGAGGAAGUUACGAUCAAAAGAAACUCAAUGGCACAAUCGUAAUUAUUUUGAAAUGGGAUUUUUAUAAAAACAGAAAUUUCUCUCUCUCUCUCUCUCUCUCUCUCUCUCUCUCUCUCUCUCUCUCUCUCCCCUUGCGCGCAUAAACACCUCCCCGGUUACUGUUCAUCCGAACAAUAUUUCUUCCGCCAUCUCCUCUACCGGCCACCAAACUUCAUGAUAUUGGUACCAAAACGUCAAGCUCACAUCCCUCUUCCUAUCCCAACCCUUCACCACCGCUACCGCUGCCCGUAGUUGCCGGUUGCAGAAAAGUCGCCGAAUUUACCCAUAACUUGAAGGAGCUCGUUCGGGUGAUUCCGGCAACUAAAUUCUUCAAACUUGGUAUGUUUUCUCAUCCUCUCAAUGUGUUCUAGCUGUUGGUUGGGUUGUUUAGAAUUAAUUUCUGCAUUUUGAAAUGAAUUUAAGAGAUUAAAGUUUUGGCCGUUUUCGGCCUCCUAUUCCGGCCACUUCCUUAGACUUUUUGGGGUAGGCCCAAGAACAAAAGUGGUUCCAAAUAGGGUAGGAAGCUGGAUUUCCAGUUGUGAAGAUUUCUGGUUGCCGAAAUUUGAUCAAGCCACCCAUGAGCUGCCGAUGCGUGUGGCGGGGCGUGAACCAUUUGUUGGCCGGUCUUUGAGUCGUAAAAUCAUCCUCAUGUCAUCCCGAGCACUACGGUAUGCUCGGAUAUGAAUUUGGAUAUCGUUUGAUCGUCGAUCAGAUAUGGCAUAUUUUGUGAUAUCGAGGUUCGAUUGGUUUGAGCCGUUGGACCGUCUUGAAUUUAAUAUAUGUUAAUCUAGACAUUCUUAGGUCGUAUGGAAUUCGACGGAUCGUAAAACGGAGUCCCGGAUACUCCGAAAAUGCCAACCCUAAGGCUAGGUUCCUAGUAACCGAGUAACCAUCCGAUCCGGACCAAACUUGCGGGACGUGUAUCCUAAACCUUGUGGAACCUAUAGGAACUUUCAAAUCGGAAUUUGGAGGUCGUGUGCCUGUUUGACCAAGUUGGGGUAGUUGGACCCCUCGGUUGACCGUGAGUCUUCCGAGGUAUUUUCACCUUUCGGAAGGUAUUAAGAUAACUUUUUUAUCGAAUCUUAACUGUUAUUUGAGGUUAAAUUGGAAAUUGAUUCGAUUUAGGGUUUUCCUUAGAGGUUGUUGCUUAUCAUUAAUUAAUAUUAUUUAAUUAUAAAUAAAGUAUAAUGUUCUAGUUGUGUGAUACGGUAUUUUAUGGAAUUUGUGUGAAAACAAGUGUUGAAUAAUAUUUAAAUUGUUCUAGGAUCUUUAUGAAAUUUAUGUUUAUGUGUAUGAUCGUUGGUCUAAAAAUAAUAUUAUUUUCCUGAUUAAAUUACGUUGCAGUCUACUAUCGACUGGUAUCACUAUAUUAGGAAUACAUCUAUUAUUAGUUUAGAUAAUUGAGAGUAUGUCAGUUUGAAGUCCUAUACGCACUACUCUAUGUACCUCUCCGGAUAUUGAUUACACUGUAAGUACUAUCCUGUGAUUGUUAGGUCCCUCGUGGUGUAGGUUAUCUGGCGUAAGGACAGACCCCAUACAUGGCGUUGGAUGUUCCGGCGUAUGGGGGAGAUUAUGUGAUGGUUAGUUCACACGUGACGUAGGUUAUCCGGCGUGUUAAUAGGCCUCAUACGUGGCAUUGGAUGUUCCGGCGUAUGGGGAGAUUUUGUGAUUGUUAGGUCCCACGUGGCAUAGGUUAUCCAGCGUGAGGACAGACCUCAUACGUGGCGUUGGAUGUUUCGGCGUAUGGGGGAGAUUAUGCGAUGGUUAGGUCACACGUGGCGUAGAUUUUCCGGCGUGUUGACAGAUCCCAUAUGUGGCUUUGGAUUUUCUAGCGUAUGGGGGGAUUAUGUGAUUACAAGGGAGAUGAAUAAAGGAUUGUUAUGUUAUAUUGGGAAAGAACUACGUGUGGUUUGAUCCUUCAGUAAGGGUACGUAGGCAGCCUAGGGUAGUGCCUAGGUGCAACCGUAGACUAAAUGUUGUUUUAUUGAGAUUGGUUCUGACCUUGUCGUUGGUCCUUAAAUUUGGGUGAAAACGAGAUGUGAUUGUGUUAGGAGGUUAAAACCUCGUAUGUUGGAUAUGUGGGAAGUUAUUUUAUACUGAUUAUAGUGGGCAUUCAUAAAUUGUCUGAAUUCAUUAUUGGCAUUGUUUAGAGUUUGUUUGAUGGUUUCGCUUAAGAUUAUUUGAAGGCCGGAGGCCAUCUAUGUGAAUUGCAUGUUGUUAUAUUGUGCAUGCUGCCUGUUGGGAUAUUAAAUUGUAAAUUUUGUGCAGGUUGACAUUUGGGGAAUGUUCAAUUUACAAGAGAGACUCUGCCAAAAUUUCGCUAGAAAGUCUCGUGCCCUUAUUCCUUUUUGGGAAAAAGGAUAUAGUUUUAGAAGUGGGCCUGACAUCGGGGUGAUGUCAGAUAUCCACAAGAUUCGUCUCGAGUUCCGAAGAAUUUGGGGCGGGUCCUGUCAUCAUGCCAAUAUAUCCCACCUCAUGCUUUAAUUGUUUUUGAGGAUUCCAUUUGCAACACGUCAAUCUUUAACAGAAAGCUUAGUAAGCAAACAAAAAUCUUUCUAAAUGCUUUUGUAAAGUGUGUGUAUAUAAUAAAUAAUAAAUAAGGCUGAAAUGAAUUGAUAUAGUUAAAGCCAUGCAAUAAGAUUUGAUAGGCUUAUGCUAGUUAGUGUUUUUUUUUAUUUUUUUUUUGGACUUUUCCAAUUGAAAGGGGCGAUAGCAUAUUAAACUCACACACACAACACAGAUGCUAGGACUCAAACCCAGGACCUUGUCUGACGGAAUAAAUACUCCAAACCACUACACUAGUGGGUUCUUUGCAUGCUAGUUAAUGUUUAGAUUCACGUAACAUGCCAUAUAUAUAUAUUAUCAAUUAUAUCUUUUGAAAACUAAUAAUUUUAAAUAAUUAAUUUUAUGAUAUAUUAAUAUACAUAUAUAAAAAUAUGGGUUUCACACAUUUCUCUUAAAUUUUUCUUUAAAAUGAUAAAUUGUUUUCAAGGUAUAAGUUCAUGUUAGAUUUUUUUAUAUAAAAAAUCCCUUGAAGAAAUUAAGUGCUUGCAUAACAUCAGAAAAUUUAUUUUCAGGCACUUAUUUUCUCAUGGCUUGGGGCAAUGAAUUGCAUGUAUGCUAACUAAGAAUCAAUUCUUGAAAACUGUCAACCAAGUAAAGAAUAAACAAGGCCUCUUUUUAUAUUUUGGCGAACCAAGAGAAGUUCAUUGAACAGAAAUUUAUUCCAAAAAACAGUGAAAUUGAUCCUUGACCUCCCUCUUGAUAUCCACACAUCUUUGCACAUCCAUCAGUGCGGAAUAGAUUCAUCCUAAAGAUAACAAUUGCCAAACCACCCUACUUCGCACAUCCAUCAGAGCCGAGUUUUAUGUCCCUUGAAUUCCCAAUUCAUCAAGCAUGGCAGAUAUCGUGUUCCUAAUCAUUAAGGUCUCGGUAAAAAGGCUAACACAAGAGAAAACCUUAAGAUGGGAAUGACAUACUUGGAAUUGGAGCCGAUCUAACGGUUCGAGCAUAUCAAACCCAGAUAUUGCUUAAUAGGCAUAAACCCGUUUGACUGUCAUAUGAUAACCAAAUUCGAAUCCGAGCAUACCGUCGCACUCAGGACCACAUGGAGAACAGUUUAGAACACAAUGGGCCGCCACACCAUGGCCCACACGCCGCCACAAAUGCCGGCAGCACGUGGGUGGAUUGAGAAAAUUUCGACUACAGAAAAUUCUUGAAACACCCUACAAUACCUAUACCAAUACGUUCAAACCAACAAUGGGAACACUUUUUGUUCUUGGACCAGGGCCAAAAUGUGACCGGAGCUAGAUGAAAUCACGACCAAAGCACCAGCCUCAUAUGGGUAUAUUGAACAAUCGUAAACCUCAAAAUCGAUUUACAAUACUUACAUAAACAGAUGGAGCACAAAGAGUAGAUGAAGUUUCAUACCUCACUCAACAAAAAUAGCAGUCGGAGUUGCCAAAAACGGUGCCAAAAACUUCUAAAAUCACCCAAACUUCCAAUCAUUCCAGUUUAAUUUCCUUCGGUUUUGGAGCUCGGAAAAUGGGUGGAUUAGAUAGAGGACGUCGAUACGAAACUUUUGCUACCAAUUUCACCUGAGUCGAACACUGGACGACGACGAAAUCGCCGUCAGAAAUUUGCUGCGUGCGGAGGGGAGAGAGAGAGAGAGCUGAUCUGUUUUUAAAAUCCAACUUCAAAAAAUUUACGAUUGUGCCACUGCACUUCUGUUGACCACAACUUCCUCAUUAAAACUCCGAUUUGGGCCUACUACAUAUCACGAACUCGUGAGAGCGAGCUCUACACAACGGUGCCACUCAUUUCCCCUAGAUCCUUCUAGAUUAAAAAGGAGUGGUGCUAUUUUCACCUACCUGUCCUAUUUUUUCACCCACUUUAUUUUCCCACCCACCAUAUAAAUUUGAAAAAACAUAAUCCUAUUUUUCCACCCACCAUUAUUCCUAAAAUACCCUUUAUGUGCAUCCCACCAUUGUUUUUGUAAAUCAUUCAUAAUCAAUGUAUGAACUUAAAUACAGAACACGAGUUUGGGAGUUGUCUGUGUAUAUAGAAACCGAGGAAUUGAAACUAUUUGUGCAAAUAAUCUCGCAAGAGUAUAUUAACUUCUAGAUCCUCCAACCUUCGAUCUUCCUUCUCUCUCUUCCUCAUUUCCUGUAAAAAAGAUUGGAGUAAAUAGACCACACCCGGGGGUGUUGGCCAAAGGCCCUCCAAUGCCUAAGUUAGUUCAAGUGUUUGUAGGAAAACAAUAGCUAAGCAAAGGGUACGGAGUUGUAUGUAGGGUGUGAACAGGACAGCCGGAGCCGUGUGGAGAAAAUAUGGAGAGUGGAGAGGGAGAGAGAGCUUCAGAUAUUUUUCUCGAGUAUUAGGAGUAGGUUUAGAUGUACCUUGAAUGAUGAAUGAGGUCGUCUAUUUAUAGGAGCCUCGGGGCUAGGGUUUUGUAGAGAAUAUGAUGAGUUUAUUCUCUAUCCAAAUUCAUAUUGAUCGAGUCGAACUUGAUAAUAUCUUAAUUAAUGUUGUAAAUGCAUGAGUUGGUGGAUGACCACCAUACCUCUUAGUAUUCCACCGUUGGAUUUUAUGUAACCUAUGCACUAAGUAUUUGUAAUUAGUGCUUGUAACCUAUAGGUAUAUUGUAAAUGAUGGUAUUCAAUCUCCUAUCUUGUAAGCCUAUAAAUAGGUGGUUCUACCAAAGAUUAAGACAUGAAUAAACAUGGUGAAACUUUAUCUUUAGCAUAUCACUUCUCUCUACAUUUUCUCCCUUUAGUUUUAUAACACGUUAUCAGCACAACAUUGCUCUUGGUAUGUUUUCUUUCUCUGAAUUUUCUUUCUUCUUAUAUGAGCUAGAGUCAUCACAUGGUAGAGUUUCUUUGUACUCACCAUCAGACUUCAUCAUGCUUGUUUAAGAAAAAAAAAUUUCUUAUUCUUAUUACACAUGAAUAUAAUGCCAUGUUUUUGUUUUUAUUUGUUUGUUUAUUUAAUUUUAAGUAUGAUCUUAAUUAUUAUGAUGAGUUUGAAUUAUACAAAAGAUCAGGGGCCCGAAGUUCCGUGAUCCUCAUCAUAUAACUAGAUUAGGACAUAGAGUCCUUUUGAUUGAAUCAGAACCUGAAGUUCUUUGAUUCCAAAUAAUUGAGGACGUGAAGUUCCGCAAAUUUAAAGAGCACAUAAGGACAUGAAACUCCUCGAUUUUGUAUUAAUCAAAAUCAGAAUUCCAUGAGGCCUACAUAUGUCAAGAACUCGAACCAGAAGUUUCGAGUGCAUAUACAUCGAUUUGAGUAUGAAGUUCAAAGCACAACUAUUAAUUCAAUUUAUUUAGAUCUACAUAUUCGAACCCGAAGUUUCGAAUAUAGAUUGAUAUGAACCUGAAGUUCAUAGUUUUUCAUGGAUCUUAAUACUACAUAUGAACCUAAAGUUCAUUACUUAUUUGUGCCCAUAUGAACCUGAAUUGGUUGGAAAUCCAAUUCUUAAACUUGUAGUUUUAUCUACAUAUUGAAUCCACAUUAAUAUUGGAUUAUCUUGGAAUUUCAUAGUCUUUAAUUUAUUUAUUUUAUUCCUUGUUUAUACCACUUUACUCAUUUUAUUUUAUUUAUGUUGUGUUAUUAGUUAAUUUCGUUUUACAAUGGUAAUGUUUUGUAUUACCGCCCCAAUAUUGACGGCCAUAGACGUCUAUUGGAGAAACUUCCUGCUUUCUUUUGUGGGUAGGAAGUUUAUGAUGUCAUGAACCAAAAGUUCAUGAGGCCUCAAUAUUACACAACUAUUAAAGUAGUUGAAGUUUAUGAUGUCAUGAACCAAAAGUUCAUGAGGCCUCAAUAUUACACAACUAUUAAAGUAGUUGAAGAUUAUGAUGUCAUGAACCAGAAGUUCAUUGACCGGAUAACUUUUAUGUUGUGGCAUGACUCUCUUGGCAAUCCAUGUUCCUCAAUGAUACAUAAGAUUUUUAUAAAUUUGUAAGGACAUCGUUUAAAGACUCAAAAUAUUGUCUUGUCCAACAAAUAUCAUUACAAAGAAAGCUCACAAAUAAAAGCUGUCAUAAGAUCAUCCCAGUUAAAAAUUGACUUUGAGCCCUAAUUCAAGGGGAUAUUUGUGAGCCUAUACAACAUUUAAUUAUGAAUUACUUCACCAGUUUUACUGAAUGCGCCUACUAAAAUGGUCACAUAUUUGAUAAUGACUGUGAGUUUAUUUUCCUAAAUUUUGAGACAAUUUUCACGCCGUUAGGGGGAGAAAUGGCAGUUUCUGAAGAACGUCGUGAAAUAGUGUUGAAUCAAUCCACUUUUGUCUCAUCAAGAUAAUGCAUAUAUAAGUUGUACAUAUGCUAACAUGGAUUGAUAUUCUUGUAUCACAAUCCAUUAACAUGGUGACUAUCUAUAUAAUGCAUGCCUGAAGCAUGACAGAAAUAUAGGUUCUAAAGACUUAACUCCUCAGAAAUGGAGAUUAUUUGAAAAAUUCAAGCCCUAUAAAAAAUACGCUCUAUAGGAGGUUAUGAUCCACAUAUUCUAAAUAAUUCAUUGUAAAAGAGAUGUUUGUCCCAUAAGUGACAACAUAAGCCCCUGAAGAGGCAUUGGUACCCCAAAGCAAUGAGAUGAUUAUAAAUUAUACAUGCACAUGCACAUAAGAAUUGUGGGAUCACAAAUCGAUGAUACAUUUGGUUUAUUAGUAGCUACUACAAUCAUCAAGGGCUAUGAUUAUAUUAAAUCACGUUUCAUGAAUGUCGACAAGUUAAGUGAUUGGCCAAAAAUGAAAAUAGGCAAUUCCAUUUAUCACUAAAUAAGAAGAGUUGCAUAUUGAACCUAUAACUCAAACACCAAAUUACAAAUGUUCAGUAUGAAGGUUACGAAUUGGUGUUUUGUGAAGUGAAAUAAGAUCACUAAUAUGACAUAAGGUUUCCUGGGAGAGACAUGUGGUUUUAGUCUCCAAUCUCAUCGUAAAUGCAUCCACAUUUCUAUAAGUGCGGUUGUUACUUUAACGCAAAACUUAUAGCAUGUGUUAAAUGCAUAUUUAUUAAGACUAUAUGGUACAUGGAAAUCAUUCAAAGCUUAUGAAAUAUUUAAGAUAUAUCGGAUGAAGCAACCUCUUGAAGGAUAUAAAAUACCACAAUAUUCUUAAUUAAGAGUUAACACUAAGAGUUUGAGUAUUUUGAAUUCAAAUUUGAUAUUGUUGUAACAUAUUCUAACUAUUAAAUUAGUUGUUGAUGCUCCUAAAUAUUUCAAUCAUUUGAAAAGUGAAAAGCAGGUCGAAUAACGUGAUAGAUGAUCAUGUAUGAAGACAAUGUUGCUUGUAUUGCUCAAAUCAGAGAAGGGGAGAUAUUAAUCAGGGGGAGAUAUCAAUCAGGGGGAGAUAUCAAUCAAGAGGAGCAUCCCCAUUCUACUACAUACAGGACAUAUGCUUGUUGUACUCUUUUUCCCUUCGACUAGGUUUUUGUCCUACUGGGUUUUUCCUAGCAAGGUUUUAAUGAGGCAACAUAAGUGCAUCCAACACCAUAUUAAUGAUCCAGAAGAAAGUUUCACUCUUUUUCCUUUCGCUUCGGUUUUGUCCCUCUGGGUUUUCCAAGCAAGGUUUUUAAUGAGGGAACUAUGUCAUUGUAUGGUGGACAUCCAAGGGGGAGUGUUGUAAAUGCAUGAGUUGGUGGAUGACCACCAUACCUCUUAGUAUUCCACCGUUGAAUUUUAUGUAACCUAUGCACUAAGUACUUGUAAUUAGUGCUUGUAACCUAUAGGUAUAUUGUAAAUGAUGGUAUUCAAUCUCCUAUCUUGUAAGCCUAUAAAUAGGUGGUUCUACCAAAGAUUAAGACAUGAAUAAACAUGGUGAAGCUUUAUCUUUAGCAUAUCACUUCUCUCUACAUUUUCUCCCUCUAGUUUUAUAACAAUUAAAUGAUAUUAUCUCUUUUUAUGAAGAUAAUAUCUGAAUUAAUGAUAUUAUCUUAUUAAAUAAAGAUAAUAUCAUAUUAAUUAAGAUAUUUAUCCCUAUUAAUUAAUUGGCCAGAUAAACUGGUUCAAUUAAUUAAUUUGAGAGAUAAUCUUCUUUUCCAUGUGGCGCGCUGUGAUUGGAGACGAAAAUAUUUGCUCCCACAGAAAUUAACUUCAAAUUUGGGAAGAGUUGAAAACCUUAAACAUUGCAUCACAAAUCCAAUGGCUGGUAACAAAUUCGUUUCCUUGUAUUUCAGUUUCUUUGUACUUUAGUUUUACAUUUUUUUUGUGGGUGUUAGUGCUCGCGUGGUUUUCCUUUCUGGAAGCCUAGCUUUGUACGAUCUGUUUGUCCUCUUCCUUAAGGAAAGCCCACUUUGAUCAAAACAAAAAAUCCAAUACCAGGUAGUGCUAGGGUUUGGAGAGGGCUGUUAGGGAUGGAUUCGAAGAGAGAGAUGGGAGAAGAGAGAGAAAAAAGGAGAUGGAUUAGGAAAGAAGGUGAGGUCUGGGAAGGUUUUUUUAUUUUUAUGAAAAACUGGAGAUGAAUUUUCAAUUUUAAAGCUUUUCCCUUUGUUAAAGUUUUUUUUCUAAAAUAUUUAAAUAUUUAAAUUUUACAUUUCAUUUCAUUAUUCUUAAGUACUUAGAAGUCAUUUUAUAAAGGGGUAAAUUUAUCUUUAAAAUUUUGAAGAUAAAGUAGGUGGGAAAAUAGGAUAAGGAGGUGAAAAAUUAGAAAUAGCAGCACUCUUAAAAAGUGACCAUAGUAAACCUACUCCGAAGGGUAAAAUUGUAAUUUCACAAAAGAAUUAAAUUGAAUUAAAUCAAUUAAUUUGGGUCAAGAAUGUUACAGUAUGGACUAGUCACCAUUUUUGGUAAAUAAAGCCCAACGUUUUGUAAAAUGAAUCCAAUAGCCCAUUUUGGCUAGUGCGUAGAUUCUAGAAAUUUGUCUAAUCUUGUACCGAAUGUUUUGGGGGCGCUUUUUUUAUGCCAUGUGUUCUCUUAUGUGCAUUUAGGGCAUAAUAAAAUAGUCUCACUUCGUCAUCUUUUUAUCGCACAAAUGCGUAUUUACGCAUCAAAAUUCAACACUUCAGUAUUUCUCUUCCAAUUUCAACCAUAAUUAUCGUUGUCUCAAAAUGGCUUCAAACACGACUCCAACAAUGUGUGGAUGCAUAGUGGCAUGGAACACAAUCCUAAAAUGUGCUAGUUGCUUGAUCCAAUAAUCAAUUUCACUCAGAGUGACGAUUUUUUAUAUUUUGGCGAACAAAGAGAAGUUCCACACAACUUUGCACAUCCAUCAGUGCGGAAUAGAUUCAUCCUAGAGAUAACAACUGCCAAACCACCCUACUUUGCACAUCCAUCAGAGCCGGGUUUUAUGUCCCCUGAAUUCCCAAUUCAUCAAGCAUUGCAGAUAUCGCGUUCCUAAUCGUUAAGGUCUCGGUAAAAAGGCUAACACAAGAGAAAACAAUGAGAAAAUGAUGCUUAUCGAUUCCUUUGAUGCCAUGUUGACAUGAUUCCAUAUAAAACUAAUCAAUCAUUGACACUGAAGUAGUUCCUAUAAACGAACCGUGGCCGCUUAAGUAGGCUAGCUGCAUCUCAGAGGACAAUUACUCAAAGAUUGACCUGGGGCUUCACUUUCAUUACUUCUUUCACAACGAGGGAACCGCGCCGCAUCAGUCGAUGUGGUGGAACGCCCUCCUGAGUCAAAGAUAGAGCUUUUGCUCCUCUCUUCAAGAGAGAUGCUUCGGUAUCUGAAUCGGCUGAAGGAGAGUGAAGAGGCAGCUACUCUCCCAGCCCACGGGUAGCCUCUUCUUUCUGGUCUACAUCAAGUGCAUUGAAUGCCCCAUAAUCAGAAUCAAAGAGGAUAGGUCAAGGAGAUGUUCGGGACGAAACCUGAGUGGAUCUGAGGCAAAGCGGAGCCUCCGGAGGUACGGCGGCUUGUGCUGUGCCGUCAUUUCGGAUUCCCGACUGAUUUCGGCACUAGUUAAAUGGGGAAAAUCACCCGGAUCUUGAAUCAACUAGUAGAUCAUCAACACAGGGUCCCAAUUCAUUUGGCGACCGCGAAGUCACCGAAUGAACUGCCGAGCUGGGACAGCCCGUGCGUGACCCAUACGAAUCCUACAGUCAUUCUUAUCUUUUGAAAAAUGGACAGAAAUUAGUUUCUUCCACUCCUCACCCAAAAUACAAUACAUUAUACCCUAAUAGAAGCAAUACAUGUGCACAUUGUACAAAAUCAACUUUCAAGGGUAACCAAAGUCGGGAACCAUAAACAGAACAAUUUGGGCGAUGCUAUGGCAGGCAUUUGUUCUAAUAAGAAAGCAUUAUAUAAAUCUAAUUAAAAAUCUAUGGUAGGCUGCCGAGUAGAAGAAAGAAAAACUGAAUUUACUUCCUGCAAAAGUUUAGUAAGAUGUGGGAUACAAUUUAAACCUUACUUUAAAGACAAUUUCCAGGGUAGAGGACAGCAUUAUAGUAUUGUGCCAAAAGCAAGCUAAUGCAUAUGAGUGAUGCAGCAUCAGGUGGCUAAAAUAAUUACAUCCUCACCGGUUUCAACAUAUCAGAUCAGACAUCCUGGAUAUCUACCUUCCCUUGAUACACACUUAACAGUUCAGGUACUUUGCCAAGAUAUCCGUUCACAAAACUCUCCAAGAACUGCUUCUCUGCCGGUUUCAGCAGAGAACCCAGAUUCAAGUUCCCAUUUAUGAAACCUUUCGACAACAGAACUUUAACAACAGAGCACCUUGGGAUAAGUCUCUUCUCUAUACUGAGACCGAGGACCACAGGAUAUUUGGCAAUCAUUCCUGACGACCAUCCCAUCUUGUUCACUAAAAGAUCCAUUGCUUGCAUAAGUUUCUUCUCCGAGACAAUCAUAGACAGCGGGUUCUUCCUGAAAGCGGAGAGAAAAUCAUCCUCAGACCAACCCCAUGUCUUAAGAACUUCACGACUUCUAUUCAAUACCAACUUAUUCUUACCACACAAUGCACACAGGGCAUUCACUGAAGUUGAUUUUUCCAGAUUAAAUCCCAUUUCCUUAACCUCACCCACAAGUUGACCAAAUUUUUCAGGAUUUACCAUCAAAGAGGGAGUACAGUGAGCUAACAACAAAGAAAUGCAUGGUUGAGGCAUACCCGAUUCUCUCAAAAGCCCAAUAUUUGGAACAACAUGCUUGCGGUGACUUUCCAAGAAAAUCCAUGAGUUGCGUUUUAAAACAGCAACAACAUUUUUCUCAGAGAGCAUACUCCUGAGGAAGUUAUAAGUGGGCAAAAUCCGAUUUCUCAAGCUGGCUGCCAAAAGCUGUGGAUUAAAAGUCAGAGUUUUUAUAAGGUCCACCUUUGAAAUUUCAAGAGAGCUGAAAAACUCAAGCUUUGGCAAAAGGGUUUUCUCAGGAUCAGCUGAAAGAAGUUUUGGAUGUGACCUAAUAAGCUUUGAUAUCUGGGUUUGAGAUGCUCCAUAGUUUCUCAGAAGCUCUAAAACGGAGUCUGCUCUUUCUGGUGACUUCAACUCGACCCGCUUACAAGCUGAAAUCGCUCCUUCUGGGGACAACCCGCAAGUGUUUAUGAGGUAAGUGACUGUGAAAUUGUGUUGGUUUUCUGAGAUUUCUGACGUGAUGCGUCUGCAGAUCAACUGACUCUGAAGAGAAAAAUGUGAGGGUUUUGGAUCUCCAACCAACACUCUGUUUGUUUUGGAAGCAAAUGUACAAGAAAAUAUUGAGUGAACCAAUCUGAAGGUCUUCAAAUUGCAGAGUUGAAUCAUGUUAGAGGUUGAUGAUGAACAAUUUCUACAGGAAAACUUAAAGCCCUAGCUGAUUCUCUGCCUUCAGAAAAUAUGCAGUUCUCGGCAUUCUAAAAAGAUCUGAACCAUCCAAAUAAAAUUGCCUGGUAUAGGAUAAACCAUUGCAGCUAGGGUAAGUUUUCUUACCAUUUUCACAACUGACGGUCACUGGCUUACUGCUGCUAUCCAUGGCGGUAGGAAAUAUUCUGCCAGAAAAACCUCUUCAGUCUUCAUAGGUACAAAUCAAAGCAAAGCAAUUACUCCAAUCCCAGGCAAUAAGAAAACCCAAAAAAAGGGGUUGAAUUUCGAACUUAAAAACAGUCGAGGGCAUUUGUUUCUUUGGGACAAAGGGCGAAGAACAUUUGGGCGAUGAUGCUUUGGUUUAUAGACGCUCGACGUGGUUACUCUCAGGUGCGGCCCAGAAGCAAUUUGAAAGCCUCUUCUUGCAAUUGGAAUUUGGAUGUAUGAGUUAUUUACAUUUUACUGUGUGUUGUCAAAAUGCUUGAGGUUUUGAAAAUUACACCAACUUCUCCUGAAGUCUCAAAUUAUUCUCAUUAAAUCCGAUUUUGUUAAUUUUUCGUACAAAAGUUAAUGAUUUUAUAUAUAAUAAAGCUUACGCAAAUAACAAAUUUAAUUUCGGUUUGAUUAAAAGAAUAGCUUGUAAAAGGCUUGAAACUUAAGUGGUUAAGAGGAUAUAAUCCCGUCCUAAGUUCAAUUCCCUUCUACCGAAUUUCGCCUAUAAAAAUCGAAGUACUAAAUUUUUUAUUAUUUGAAGACAUUUUUUUAUAUAAAAUCAUCAAUUAUAGAAGGAAAAAUCAAUGGAAAAAGGUUUCGAGAAAAUAAUUUAAUACUUUAUGGAGUAUUUGUGUAAUUUUUGGAACUACAAAGGGUUUAGUAAAAGCACAAGUUUUAGUGUAAAUAACUCUGAAAUGUAUCCCCAUAAAAAAAAUUAUAAAAAAUUAAAAAAUUAAAAAAACUAUGAAAUGUAUAGUACAGUCCCGAUCUCUUGGACCACAGGAGUCCAAGAGAUUGUGGUCACCCACCGUUGGAUAUUAAUCCAAUGGUUCAAAAUGAUAUAUAUAAAUGCAAUAUGACAUAAAUGAUUAUUACCCGAUUCAAGUCAACCGUUGAAUUUACAUCUAACGGUGAGUGACCAUAACUCUCUUGGACUACAGGGGUCCAAGAGAUCAGGACUGAUGUAUAGUAUACCCGUAAGAUUUUAUUCUUCUAUUUUUGUACAUUAAAUACUUGUUUAUCCUUUUUAUAUUUGAAUCUGUUGAGUAAAUUGCCUCAUUAAUUUUUUAUUAACUUUUUUUAAUGUGAGCGUGUCAUUGUUAGCAAAUAAUACCCUAUGAAUUUGAAUGACUUUAUACACUUGAGCCCCAAGUAAUAGACUUUAAACAAACGAUUGUGAUUUUGGAUGGGGGAACCUCCUAAGAGAGUUCUUUUCUAUCCCUCAGACUGGUGAGGACUUCACAAUUUAUCUAGACAAAAAUGGUAAGUAAAGCAAAAUACAUAAUUUGUGGUGAAUAUAACAGACUAAUCCAAGCAGAACUGCCUUAAGCACAAAGCAUAAAAUGAAUUGCUAAAUCUAGACGGGUGUCAAAUUGUUGUACUUUGACUUCUACUUAAAAAUACAAUCAAAAUGAUGUUUUAAGGUCAGGCUGGACUGGAUAUUUCUGCACUGAAAUUGCACGUCAAUAUCUUCAACAAACAUAGAUUAGUUGGAAAUCAAUACCAAUGUUGGUAUUGGCAGAGCUAUAAACAAGUUGAGCCAAUAUGUAGGCUGGAAAAGUGAGCAGAACUACAGGCAAGUACCUGUUCUAGUUGGUUGUGUAUGAUGUGGAAGAUUUCUAGACAAUUUUAAGACAUUGAGGUAUCUUUAUAAACUUGUUGAGGUUUUCAUAUGAUGAAAGACCUGACUUCUAUUUGUGUUAUCUUAUUUGCUUUGUAACACCCCGACUCCAAAAUUAAUGUCUAUUUUAAUUGAUUUAAAUUAAAUUACGAAUUUACCCUUGGGGUAGGGGUAAAUUGGUCAUUUUCUUAUCCGGAAGGAUUUUGGGACCACGAAUGGUAUUUUUGGGUAUGUGGUACUGAGACGAAUUCGUAAACACGCGGUAGGCUUGAAUCGGAGCUGUAACGAAAAUGUUACGAUCAAAACAUUAUCAGUGGCAAACUUGUAAAUAUUUCAAAAAAGUUUGAUAAAAAUCAGAUUUUUUCACUUCAGCUCUCUCUCUCUCUCCUCGCACGCACUCGACUCUCUCUCUCCUCAGUCUCUCUCUCUCCCCGACACCAACACACUCUCUCUCUUCGGUUCUCUCUGCACCGGCCACGGCCAGGCACGCCACCAGUCCCGAUCGAUUCGCCUCGAUGUCCCGAUCAAGUCUAGCCGAUUUUCCCCAUCGGAAACCACGAACUCCGGCCACGAGCUCGACUGGUUUGAACCAGAGCUUUCCGAUCGUCGCGCCGCCUCCUCCGCCGCCCAAACCUGGUGAGUGAGGUAUGGUUUCUCAUCCUUUUUCCGAGUUCUAGCUGAUUGUUGUAUAGGUUUGGACCGAUUUGUUGUCUAGAAAAUCGAUUAGAAAACUUAGGUUUUGGCCGGAUUUCAAAGUAAAAUUCCGGCCAGUUGCCGCCCGAAUUGGACCUUCCCUUAGUUGAAUGAAGUGAUCCUGACCUUGAGUAAAAGCUAGGAUAUGAAGGGUGAGCUCGGGUGGAGUUUUUCCGUUAUCGGAAUUACUCUGCACACCCACGAGCUGCCGGCGCCUGUGGCUGCGCGUGGGCGAGGCUGGUAAAGAUGCAAUUUUACCCGAUGAGAUCCUUAUGUUGUCACGAGCGUAUAGAAAUUCACGGAUCUCAAUUCGGAUGUCGUUUGGCUAUCGAACGAAUUUUCGCAUAUUGUGAGUUAUUGGGUUCGAUAGGUUCCGACCAUUGGAUCUUUUUCAAAUUAAAAUAUGUUGUUCUAGGUAUUCCUAGGACCGUAUGGGACUUCACGGAUUAUGAAUCGGGGCCCUGGAUGUUUCGAUUCAAUAAUGCAAAGUUGGCUGGUUAGCGAUAACCGUAAAAAUCGUGAACGAUUCCUAAACCUGUAAUAGGACCUUAGGAUACCUUCUUCAACGUGCACGUAUUGGGAAUUUGGGGAUUUAAGCAUUUAAUUUGUGAUUUCCACUUCGAUGUAAUUUUAUAUUAAUUAAGGUUCGUAUCUCGAAAUAGGUGUUUCGACUGCACGUACUCAGCAAGCAGGACCCUCACGUGGUCAGGCAGCGUGGGAAUAUUUGUGAGUGGACUUUGUUUUCAAUCAAUGCAUGGUUUUAUUGAUGAAGGAUUUUUGCAUAAUGUUUUUAUGGCUUAUUGAAUAUAUUAUAUUCAUGAGAUGAAUUUGAUGUUGUAUAGCGCGUUGGCAAUAUAUUGUGAGUUUGGCAUUUUGGGUAUUGAGAGUGUAUUUUUAUAAGGGUUGUGGGGAAGUAUAUGUAUAUUAUUCUCUAUAGACGAGAUACUUGGGUUGUUGAAGGGUGUUGUGGAAGAACUUGAUUAUGAUGGGUUGUUGAGAGAAGUUGUAUGAUUAUACUAUGUAAGUACCUUCCCCAAGUAUUAGACUUUUCACACGCGGCGUUGGAUGUUCCGGCGUGUAGGAAGAAUAGGUUACCCGUCUCACUCGUGGCGUUGGAUGUUCCGGCGUGUGAGACACUUUCCAUAUGCGGCGUUGGAUGUUCCAGCGUAUGGAAAGACUCUGUAUAGUGUUUAGGGUCAUCACCCAUGGCGUUGGAUGUUCCGGUGUGUGAUGAUCCAGUCUGCGCACGUAGGACUUAGUUUGGGAGCCACACAUGGCGUUGGAUGUUCCGGUGUGGGAGCUUUAGAGUUUCGUCCCCCGGUUGGACCGCUCAUCCCUAGACGCAGGAUAGCACCUGGAAAUCCUGCGAACUAGUCAAACGAUUCCCUAGUUGGAUUGCUUCCCCGGUACCUAGGUAGUGUGAUGAGUAUAUCGUAUAGCUAGUUAUAGUUAUAUUCUUAUAUAUAUAUAUAUAUAUUUAUAUUUAUAUGUAUAUGUAUAGUUGAGUGAGUGAAGAAUUAGAGUUUUUCAGUGGUUUGGCAAGAGUUGUAAAAUUGAGAGAAUGAGGUUUUUGAAGGAGAUGAUUUGUAUUAUGAAGAGUUUUAAAUGAAUCAUGUUUUGAGUAAUUAAUUUGAAUUGUGAACCUGCAUGACUAGAGCAUUAUUUUUACAUGGUGGGGUUAUUAUAUUAUUUUUAACUGCGAAUUUGGUUUUUGUCCACUCACAUGUUUUCUGUUUUGCGCCCCCCAGCCAGUAGUCGCUCUAGGAAGCGUGCAAGUGGUGUUCGAGGCUCGAACUGUGAAUCUUCCUAGUUAGGAAUUGAGUAAUUUCUUCUACUCAACUGUUCUUGUAAUCUAAAUUCAAUAGAUGCUCUAUUAUCGCCCAUGGUAGAUUUUACUUGUGAGGCCGGAGGCCAUUUUAGUAUGACUUGUUGAAUUAUGAAAGCAUGCUGCUGGUUGGGAUUUUUAUUUGAUGUGCGUUGCAGGUUGAAAUUUUUUGUUAGGUUUGCUUAAAUUACAGGGGAGACUCUGCCAAAAUUUUUGGUAGAAAGUCUCGAUUUCUUAGUAAGUGGGCCCGGCAUCGGGAAGAUGUCGGAACAAAGACGGGGUCCGCUUCGGUUUCCAGGAAAUUCCGGGGCAGGUCCUGUCAUGCUGAACCAAAUUUGUAAGAGAAUUCAAUCCAUUAUAAGUUAUGAUUGAAAUACAUUGUUAUAUUGCAAAAAGAAUCUCGUCUUCUUUUUGGCUGUCUGAGAUUUUGUUUGAGUUGGGUUGCUUCCUAUAGAAGAUUGCUUGCUUGCCUUUGAUAAUUGCAAGAUCAUUUGAUCUUUGAUUUCUUUUGAUCAGUCUAGACUGAUUGUUGAGUUUUUGUUUGAUUGGUUGGUUGGUUGGUUGGGUCCCCUCUCCAAUCCAUGCAUUCUUGUAUUUAUAAGAGAAAAAUGAUGAUGAAGAUUGUUAAGCUCAUAAUUUCAUGCAUAUACAUGCCCUAUUUACUCACUCAUUUUGCUUAGUUUCUUAGAAUUUUAGGCCAAUAGAGCGAAAGAGAAUAAUUCAUGCAAUUCAAGCAUGUUAAGGCCAGAUUGGGAUGAAUGGAAGAAGAGCUUAAAGACAAACUCAUUUUGGCUACAGGCCCUCGCCAGUCCAAUUUCGUAAGUCACAUUGCAAGACUUGUUUCAGCAAACUACACAACUCAAAUGAGGCAUACUUCUGCAUGAAAGUUGUUCCAAUGGUUGUCUAUUAUAACAUAUCCAAAAUUCAGCCCUAUUUGAUAAAUCUGGAGUCCGUCACCUAUCAAACACAGAACCAUGCUCAGGAUGGAUUUUGUCAACGUGCCAAAUGACAUGUGGCUGAAAAGAAGACAUUCUGAACUUCAAGUUUGUGGGCUCAAAGUCAUCAUUUGCUUAAGGGUAGCCCAAUUCGUAAGCCUUGAAGUUGCUGGUCAUGCUAACCUAAGGAUGAGCUAAGUGUGCUUGGUCAUAAUGACAUAAGCAUGAGGUGUUAUUGAUUGUGGGGAAGUUAGGUGAAGCAUAUGCAUUUCUUAUAUUUGAGUGGAGUUUUGCAGCAGCCAAAGGGAAUAAAACAAGAUGAAGUGGGAGCUGCAAUACUAAGCCUAAAGAGAAGAAGAACUGUUUUCAAAUGCAAGUGUGUUUUAGGUGAAAUAGGUGUGGUUAGUGAACUUACUUGUAUAAUCUGAUUCACUUAACCCUUAUACCUAUAAAUAGAGAGUCUCCAAAGAGCUAUGUAGUCAAGAAAAUUCAAAUCCAUCAUUUACACUUACAUUGUACACAAAGAGAGGAAGAGUUAAGAGUCACAAAGGGAGAGAAGAGAAAAGGCAGCAGCUGGGAGGCUUUGGCCUCCUGGCAGCCAUGGAGAUAAAGCUUUUCCAUCUCUAGCAUGAUGUCCCUAUCUUUUUCUCCUCCCUUUGUCUUUUAUUUUCUUCUUGUAUUUCCUUAGCUUUACUUUGUUUUUCUGUCAUUAGUUAAUAAACAUCUUGCUAGUCUUGUAUCAUGGUUUGAGUUUAUAAAGUUUGAUUUCAUUCAUGAAUUCUUCUUCACUGUUUUAAUGGAGCUAUUUUGCAUCCUUUGAUUGAUCACCUGAGGAUUUAUGCAUUUUGCUCUUGUUGGUUGAUUGAUCACCUGAGGAUUUAUGCAUUUUGCUCUUGUUGGGAAGGUUUGGGGAUCAUCUUCAUUCCAUCCAUUAGCAACUCAUAUGAUUUGGUUUCCAGGACGCCUAAUGUAAACACAAUGCUUUGGGGUCCUUGUGAUGUUCAAUGCAAUUUGAUCCAAACUGUUUAGGCCAAAAUUCUACCCGUCAUCCCAUUUUUGUCGAGAGGCCCAUGAACCAAACAUUUGGGCUUUCAUCUAUAGGAAUCAUAAGGAAAAAAACCAAGACACUAGAAAAGCCCAGAUCCUUUUGAACAAAUUACAAAAGCAGCCAUGAUCUGAAAAGAAUAAACUACUAUUAUUUACAAUUAAAGAGCCGAUACACACAGUGUUGGAUAAAUGCCCAACUUCUGAGAAGAUCUCACCACUUGGUCUCUAUCCCAAAAAGCCAAAACAGCAUAUCUUUUUCUCAAGGAAGCGCCAGCGUGAAUUUCUGACUUUGAAAAAGUCAAAAUUUUCAACUAUCACAGAGGAGUUGAUAAGGAGUUAAUGAAGGCAGGUUUUACAGGAAGACUUCUCCAUUGUUUGCAGCCAAAGAAAGAAGAUCAAAAUCCCUUUUUAUAAACAGAGAAACUCUACACUAAAGCAGGUGACCUUUCCAAGAGAUAAGCAGACUACAUUCUCAAGAGAUAAGUAGGGAGCAAGGGAGUUGUUCAACAGGAAAAGCAAACUGACCAUCAUGACAAAUUGUGUAAUAACCCAAACCUUAAUUAAUAUUUAAUUAUUAUUUUAUUAGAAGGAAAUACAAUUUUGCCCUUGGAAUAAUUUAUUAAAGAAAAGUUAACUUUUUGACAGAGAAAGAAUUUGACAAUUCCACACACACCGUUGCGUAAAGCGCGACGAAAUGAGUCCGUAGACACGUAGCAAGCUUAAAUCGGAGCUUUAACGAAGAAAAUAUGGUCAAAAUACGUAGAGGGGCAAAAUGAUAAUUUGCAAAGUCAGAAUUUUAAAACCCCAAUUCUCUCUCUAUCACGAUCUCUUCUUCCCCUGGUUCGAAAACCCCCCAGCCGAACCUCCAUAACUACCCAGCCACUGCCACACCUCGCCCCGACCCACCAGACUGGACCUAAUCGCACCAGCGUCAGCUCCGCCGCCAAGCCCGACCUUCCCUGCCACUCGGCUGUCACGGUUUCGUAGGAAAAAUUGAAAAUUUCAUCCGGUUUAGUUUGAAAUUUCACAGCCGUCGAUCUCCGUAUUCUGACCACCAAAUUGGACGAUAAAGGUAUGGACCCUUACCUAUUUUUCAUGACUUAGCUGUUGGUUGGGUAGGAUUGAACGAUUUCUAGCCUAGGUAGAUCAAACCACAAUCCAAAGCUCGGUCGGUUUUGAGAUUGAAAUUUCGGCCACUUUCGGCUAGUUUUUGGGGUACGUCCAAGAACAAAAGUGGUUCCAAAUAGGUUGUUUUACAUAGAGUAGGAGUUUGGGCCGGUGGUUUGGAGUUUUUCCGACUGCCAGAAAUUUAUCAAGCCACCCACUCACUGCCGGCGCGUGUGGCGGAGCGUGGGCAGUUUAGUGGAGACCACAUUCAGUCCUAGAAUGAUCCUCGUGUUGUCAUGAGCGCGUAGGAAUUCGCAGAUCUCAAUUCGGAUACCGUUUGAGCCUCGAACGGAUUUUGCAUAUUGUAUGAUUUCCGGGUUCAAUACAAUUGAGCCGUUGGAUCGUAAUCAUUUUCAGAUAUCUUAAUCUACACAAUUCCAGGAUCGUUUAGGAUUUGACGGAUCGUGAAUCGGAGUUCCCAAUACUCCAAAAUCGCGAACCCUAGGGCUAGGGUUUUAGAAAUCAUUCGAUUGUAUGAUCGUGAUCAAUCCGACCGUCCGAUCGAGAUCAAACUCUCAGGACAUGUGUCCUGGGUAUAUUGGAACUUCUAGAGGCUUAUGGAUCAUAAUUUUGUGGUCGAACGUGCACAGGGUCUGGCUCGGAUUCCAAAAUGGAAUUUGGGUCGGGUCCUAUCCAAUUGUGUCUUUCCUUCUUUACAAGGAACAAAUAGAGAACAAAAGGAGUUGAUUUUCUUUUUGGGAAAAGCAAGGAAAAGAUCACCAUGGGAACUUAUUAUUGAUGGUUCUUCUCUGCCAGAAUAGAUAGCUUCCCCUUUUUGUGGCAUUUAAAAAGAAAGAUCUUUUGAAAAGAUUUGCCGUCCAUUAUUCAAAGAUUAAAAACCUUACUCCAGCAUUUCCUAUAAAAUAAGAGAGAGGGUGAACAGAUGAAGGACAGCCUAAAAAUCAAUCAAGAUAAAAACUCUCAAAGUCAUAACUGACAAACUCAAAAUGAUCAAUUGAUCUUAAAAGCCUUCAAACACUGAAGUGACCAAAGCUCAUCGAGCCACAAGAAACAAAUCAACUAUAAUUCAAAUCUCUGUUUUCGGUUCAGUCAGAGAAACUGUUUUACAAAGCGAGAUUUCUCUUGUUACAAAUUUGGUUCAGCACAAAGCCAAGUCAAGCAGAGUCAGGAUUUUUCACAAAUAUGAAAACCUCAACAAAUUUACAGAAAGCCUUGGUCAAGCAGGACAGGCACCAUAGUGCAGUUCCAGCUCAGUGACCAUCAAUCGAGCCACUUUUGUUCUCUUCAGACUGGAGAUGCCUCAAUUCAACCCUUUCAACAAGCCUUCCAUGGCUCGAAAUAAAUUGAAGCUCUGCCAAACUCAAAUGUCGGUAUCCAUUUCCAGCUAAAACUCAUCAGUUGAAGGUGUUGACGAUCCAAUCCAACACAGACACAUCCAAUCCAGCCCAGUUCAGAAGCAGCUACCCAGGCAGAAAUUGAAGUCGAACGCUCUGCUGUCUAUUCUGGAGUUGGCUUUUUCUCUUUCUGAGCUUUGUAAUGAGCAGUUCUGCCUAAACAGUUUACUUUCUUUUCAUUUAUUCUGGCCAAAACUACCAAUUUUGUACUGUGAAAAAUUAUGAAGUUCUCACCAGUCUGAGGCGAGAAAAGAACUUAUUUGAGAGAUAUUCCUCACCCAAAUUCACAAUUGCUUGUUUAAAAGUCAGUAACUUGGGGCGCAAGUUAUCUAUUUUUUAGAAGUCUGCUAGGGUUUUGAACUGCUAGCAGUGGCACGCUCACGCACAAAAGAAAGUUGAUUUGUUAACCACUAAUGGUUGUCAAGCCAAUGGGGAACUUUACCAUACCAUCACAGGAUUAAAAUCAAAACGGGUGAACACAAACACCAUGGACUUAUUUGUGAGGAUCGUCAUGAUUGAAUCAAUUUUUUUACUUGCUGCCAUAACGUGAUUAGAACAAUUAGGGUGGAUUCUAAAACCUCACCAUCUUGUCUUAGUUCUUUUCUUUCUUCUUCUUUUGUGUUCUUUUGUGUUCUUUUGUUUUCAUUUCUGUUUUGUGUAGGAAAACUGAAUUGGAUCAUUCAAUCAUCAAUCCCUGUGAAAUUGACCUUGCACUUACAUAUGCUAAACUACCAACGACUCGUGCACUUGCGAGUAUCACAAGUUGAGGAUGCAGCUGAAUCCAUUAUGGUGCAGCGUUGAAUCGACGCAACAAAGAUAUGGAUUUUUUUUUUUAAAAUUUUGGACUAGCCCCCAUUUCAUGCAAAAGUGGCAAAAGUUUUGUCAUUCCAAUGCAUUGAUCGUUUUUGGCACCUGCUCAUCAAUACUCCUGAAUGUCUCCUAAUCAUUCCUUUUGCAACAACUAGACUGAAGCAAGCAAUAAUUUCUAGAUUCCUCCAAUGUUGGUACCAUAAAUAACCAAAUACUCUUGGAAAAGAAAAAAUCCGAUGAUCAUAUAAUAAAUAGCCGUGAUUCUCAAGCAAGUCUAACUUUUACUUUUCAACUUUUAAGGUCAUCAAUUUUCCUUGUAGUUUAGUCACGAACGAUGAGGAAAUAUCCUUAAAAACUUUAACAGCUAAGAAAUUGUGAAUUUUGGACUGAAACUAAUUGAAAUAAUUUGAUUCUUGGAUUAAAUCACCACUUGUGGUAAUUCAUUUACCAAUUUAUCAAAAAAUCAUGAAUUAGUUAAAUCCCCCUUUGGCUAAAUAGUAAGGACUAGUCACCAUUUUUGAUAAACACAGCCCAACGUUUUGUAAAAUGAACCCAAUAAACCAUUUUGGCUAGCUCGUAGGAUUUAAGCCCAAACAAUACCUGUUCGGCUAGAAUUUUAAAAAAAACAAAUUAUUUUAUUAUUAUUCUAUUUUUGAUAAGAUUCUAGAAAUUUGUCUAAUCUCAUACCGGAUGUUUUGGGGGCACUUUUUUAUGCCAUGCGUUCUCUGAUGUGCAUUCAGGGGCUUAAUAAAAUAGUCUCACUUCGUCAUCUUUUUAUCGCACAAACACGUAUUUGCACAUCAAAAUUCAACACUUCGGUAUUUCUCUUCCAAUUUCAACCAUAAUUAGUAUUGUCUCAAAAUGACUUCAAACAUGACUCCAAAAGGCAUCGAUGCAUAGUGACUUGGAACACAAUCCUAAAACGUGUUAGUUGCUUGAUCCGAUCAUCAAUUUCAUUCAGAGUGACGAUUUUUUUUUUUUUCAACAACUCUUCUACAACAUUUGACCAUUUUUUUCUUGUUGAAAGUGACAAGUUUUGUCGACUUACAAAAAAAACUAUGCCAAAAUGGUAAUACUAAAGUCCUUAUCUAACCCCUAUAUCUCUUCAAUUGAGAGAUUUUUGGGGUUGACCCUUGUAGGAAGCAAGUGUUGGGUUCUUCAAAGACUAGGUAGAUAGAUAAUUCAAAAUUUUACCCAAUUUCUUAGGAUUUGGAUUUCAGCAAAGUGUUUGAUAGCAUUCUUGCCCUCCACGAAUGCUGGUCUAAAGAAUUUUAAUCGGGGGAAAGAAAACCCACACUCCAACAAAUAUUGUGUUUGAACAUUAAAGACUAAAAAAAUGUGUUUUAGCUAUAAUAUAGAAGAAGCCAGAGAAAAAAAAUUUAGCCCAGCCCUAUAUAAAUUCCUUUAUUCCGCCCUUGUUUGGGUGGGAUGAGAAAAUUUGUGUUUGAAAGGGGGAAUGGAGGAAGGGCCUGUAAAGAGGGAAGGGGGAUUGGAUUUCAAGGUGAGCGGGGUUAGUUGGAGCCACCGGAGGUGCACAGAUGAUGGGGUAAGGUGAUAUUUUUUUUAUUUUCAAUUUUAUUUUUUUAUAAUGAAUUUUCUAUUUUUAAAAUACCCUUGAAAAUGGAAAGACUAAAAUACCCUUAAAUAUAGAUGGAAAGUUGGUGUUAAAGUGAGAUGACAAAUCAUGAAUUUUGAAAAAUUAAGAUGUCAUUUCUCUUAAUUUUUUCUUUAAAAUGACAACUUGAUUUCAAGAUAUAAGUUCAUGUGACAUUUUAAAAAAUAAUAAUAAUAAAUUGCAUAACAUCAGAUUUUUUUUUUUUUUAUUUAAUGCAAAAAAAGGGAAAUUACAAGCAAAAAUCACGCGAACACGCAGUCCCAAACAAGUUGAAAAAGAAAGGAAUCGGACAAUUCAAAGGCAGACCCGCAUCCCAUAACUCUAUGACUAUUGCACCAAGUAAAAGGAAUGCCAGCAGCACAAGAGAAAUAAUUUCACCAUCAUUAAUAAAGCCAUUAAAAUCUGCCAAAGCAGACAUCAAAUGAGUGUAACCACCUAAUUUCUCACUAGGGGCGCAUAUAUUAUUAAAGUCCCCCAUAAGAAUCCAAGCUUCAGAAGCCGCAUGUUUGAGGCCAAGGAUAUCAAUCCACAGCUGAUGUUGUUUUUGUUUCUAGGGAUAAGCAUAGACAAAAGUAGCUUUCCAAUUUUUUUGGUCAAUAAGAUCUUGAAUGUGGCAGUGAAUGAAACGCUCAUGGGAAUCUAAAAUGGUUAUAUUAAUAAAAGAAGGAUUCCACAAUAAGAAUAUCCAUCCACAAUGACCAAGGGCAUGGAUACAAAAGAAACCAUCAAAACCAAGCCUCUGAGCAAUAACCUCAGCUCAACCCUAGAGGCUCUGGAAUCCAAAAUAUAGAAAACAUUCAAACUAGACGUACUAAUAUAAAAAAGGGCUUGCAAAAUAAAGCCAGGCCAACCACUGCCUUGGCUAUUCCAGAAUAACAUCUUCAUGGAUUGGGGCUAGGGGUGUUACCAACCAAGGGUUCAGUCUCCCUCAGAUACUCUCCAUGCAUCUCAACACUUGGAGCAUAAUUCUCUUCCACUUCCACCUCAUCACGAGUUCUCUUCUUAGGACUCUUGUAAGCGAAACCAGUGAAGGCACUGCUGCCUUCUUGGGAAUGAGCAGGGGCAAUCACAACAGCCCUACCCUUCCCCUUGCUAAUAUGGUCAACUGGAGAAAACUUAACCCCAACAUCACGAGACCCACCUCCUUCAGUAAAUUUGAUUCCCUUAGCAACUUCUUUAAAAGUUCUCCUAUCCCUUUCUUGCAUUUUGGCUUUGCCUUUACGGUUAGCCACAACCGUCCACCCUGGGUCCUAUACCUCAGUGGGCACCUUCUCACCCUGGUCAGAAUUUUCCUCUGCAAAAUAGUCCACAGUUAUAGGCUGUGGGAACACCAGUAUGACAUCAUCAGCUAGUUUUUGUUGCUCUUCAAACUCAAGGACUCAUUCCCUAAGGAACACAUUAGGUUCGUUCUCUAAUAUUUCAACCUGCAUGGCCACAUAUCUUUCCGGCUAAGGAGUGGGAAACCUUUCUCUUGUUACAUGAAUCCAAUUUUCAUUUCACCUGGGAAAAGCCAUCAGAAAGCUUUUGUUUGAAAUUUUGAUAGGGCAAAUGUGAUCGCGCUCCAUCUUCUGGCUACAAUAGAAACAGAUCGCAAAAAGGGCUUCAUAGCUAACAAAUAUUAUGGUUUCCUGGGGAUGCUCACCCAGAACUAGGCAUCUUUUUAGGGGCCUAGUUAGGUCUAACACAAGGUGAGCUCUAACAAACAUAAUCUGUUUACCCUCUGUAGACUGCAGGUCCACACUAAUAGGAUCUCCAAGGAUAGAGACCAAAUCAUAGAGAACCUCAGGGUCUUUGUAAUGGAGGGGCAGAAAGGGAAUUCUGACCCAGCCCACAAUGGAUGUCACAACAGCAUAAAAGGGUGAGAAAUCUGGGGUCCAGCGCUGCAGGUUAAAAAUCUGACCUUGGACAAACCAGGGUCUGUUAUCCAAAACGAAAAAAACAUCAACUUCAGCAUUGAACUCCACCUUAUACCAGUCUCGACCAAUAUGGUCAAUAGAGACCUCACCCUGCAGGUUCUUCCACUCACUCUUGAGCCUAUGCCUGAUAACUCUGCUAUUCACAGGAACUCCAAAGACUUUCCCUACCAAGCAGAAAGUCUCAUUGAGUUUGGACACUAGACGCAAGAGCAGAGGUGGAGACUUUGGUUUCAUUUCUUUCAAUCCUAAAGGUAAAUAUGCCCUUGUGUAACACAGAGGGUUCCACAGAAGACCUACUCCCCAAUCUGGGAGAAGACGUCGGACUCAAACUACGGGAUUUCGCCCGUGAAGAGCUAGCAUUAAGUUGAGCACUCAUGGUUGGAUGAGAGGAAAGUGAGCAAGGGCAACAGGUAUUAAGAGGAAAUUUAGAAGGUGAGAGUACGCGGUGGAGAUAUCUGGUUUUAAUUUUCUUAUAAAUAGCCAGUAUGAAGCUCUCAAAAUGAUUACAAACAUAUCCAAACCUCCAAUGCAUGCAAAGAUGAAGAAAGGGGAAAGAAGUUAUCUGACCAGAGUUGCUAAAAUCAGCAUCGAGCACCUCCCAAAUCAUCAGCAUCAAAAGGGGUUUCCAAUUUCUGGGGUAAUGAUUUAGUCUGAGACGAUCCUGGCCAUUAGAUUGAAAAAAGAAUGCAAGAUUAGAGUGAAUGAAAUUAAUGCAAGAUAGAGGACGAAGCAAAUUGCAAAAAUUGCACUUCCCAAAGGGAGUUCAUCAGCUGAUGCAUCGUAAAUCUCAAACGACUUCUUUUUAGCGCCACCUUGUGGUUUGGAUGAUGGAUCAACAAUCAUUUCGCAACCCAAUCACGGCAAAAGCUUUGGGGAGAAGAACCGAUUCAAAGUCUUCCCAAUACAAACAACCAUAGCUUCAGACCAACUUUUAGAUGUAAUAAUUGAACCCGCAAGCUUCACUUGAUCAUCCCUUUGAGCUUUUUGUCUUGCCUUUUUCUUCCUUCUUUUCCAAUUUCCCACCCUCUCAAGGACUGCCCUAAUCCCCUUUUUGCUCUCGUUCUUCAUUUUUCUGAAUUAAUUCAAUCAAUUCAAAAAAUUCAUUUCCAGGCACUUAUUUUUUCAUGGCUUGGGGGGCAAUGAACUAAGAAUCAAUCCUUGAAAACUAUAAACCAAGUAAAGAAUAAACAAGGCCUCUUUUUAUAUUUUGGCGAACGAAGAGAAGUACAUUGAACAUAAAUUUAUUCCAAAAAAACAGUGAAAUUGUUCCUUGACCUCCCUCUUGAGAUCCACACAUCUUUGCACAUCUAUUAGUGCGGGAUAGAUUCAUCCUAAAGACAACAAUUGCCAAACCACCCUACUUUGCAACUCCAUCAGAGCCGAGUUUUAUGUCCCCUGAAUUCCCAAUUCCUUAAGCAUUGCAGAUAUCGCAUUCCUAAUCGUUAAGGUCUCGGUAAAAAAGCUAACACAAGAGAAGACAAUGAGAAAAUGAUGCUUAUCGAGUCCUUCGAUGCCAUGUUGACAUGAUUACAUAUGAAUCUAAUCAAUCAUUGACACUGAAGUAGUUCCUAUAAACCAACCGUGGCCGCUUAAGUAGGCUAGCUGCAUCUCAGAGGACAAUAACUCAAAGAGCAAGGGAUAAAGGAUUGAGAGUCAUUCUUAUCUUUUGAAAAAUGGACAGAAAUUAGCUUCUUCCACUCCUCAACCAAAAUACAAUACAUUGUACCCUAAUAGAAGCAUUAUAUGCGCACAUUCUACAAAAUCAACUUUCAAGGGUAACCAAAGUCGGGAACCAUAAACAGAAGAAAUUCUAGCGACUCUACGGCAGGCAUUUGUUCUAAUAAGAAAGCAUAUAUAAAUCUAAUUAAAAACAGGUAGGCUGCCGAGUAGAAGAAUAAAAAACUGAAUUUACUUCCUGCAAAAUUUUAGUAAGAUGUGGGAUACAAUUUAAACCUUACUUUAAAGACAAUUUCUAGGGUAGAGGACAGCAUUAUAGUAUUGUGCCAAAUGCAAUCUAAUGCAUAUGAGUGAUGCAGCAUCAGGUGGCUAAAAUAAUUACAUCCUCACCCGUUUCAACAUAUCAGAUCAGACAGACUGGAUAUCUACCUUCCCUUGAUACACACUUAACAAUUCAGGUACUUCGCCAAGAUAUCUGUUCACAAAAAUCUCCAAGAACUGCUUCUCUGUUCGUUUCAGCAGAGAACCCAGAUUCAAGUUCUCAUUUAUGAAACCUUUCAACAACAGAACUUUAACAACAGAGCACCUUGGGAUAAGUCUCCUCUCCAAACUGAGACUGAGGACCACAGGAUAUUUGGCAAUCAUUCCUGACGACCAUCCCAUCUUGUUCACUAAAAGAUCCAUUGCUUGCAUAAGUUUCUUCUCCGAGACAAUCAUACACUGCGGGUUCUUCCUGAAGGCAGAGAGAAAAUCACCCUCAGACCAACCCCAUGUCUUAAGAACUUCGCGACUUCUACUCCAUACCAACUUAUUCUUACCGCACAAUGCACACAGGGCAUUCACUGAAGUUGAUUUUUCUAGAUUAAAUCCCAUUUCCUUAACCUCACCCACAAGUUGACCAAAGUUUUCAGCAUUUGCCAUCAAAACACGGGUACCACGAUUUAGCAAAGAAGAAAUGCAUGGUUGAGGCAUGCCCAAUUCUCUCAAAAGCCCAAUAUUUGGCACCACAUGCUUGCAGUGACCUUCCAAGAAAAUCCAUGAGUUGCGUUUUAAAACAGCAACAACAUUUUUCUCAGAGAGCAUACUCCUGAGGAAGUUAUAAGUGGGCAAAAUCCGAUUUCUCAAGCUGGCUGACAAAAGGUGUGGAUUAAAAGCCAGAGUUUUUGCAAAGUCCACUUUUGAAAUUUCAAGAGAGCUGAAAAACUCAAGCUUUGGCAAAAGGGUUUUCUCAGGAUCAGCUGAAAGAAGUUGUGGAUGUGACCUAAUAAGCUUUGAUAUCUGGGUUUGAGAUGCUCCAUGGUUUCUCAGAAGCUCUAAAACGGAGUCUGCUCUUUCUGGUGACUGCAACUUGACCCACUUAGAAGCUAAAAUCGCUCCUUCUGGGGACAAUCCACAAGUGUUUAUGAGGUAAGUGACUGUGAAAUUGUGUUGGUUUUCUGAGAUUUCAGAGGUGAUGUGUCUGCAGAGCAACUGACUCUGAAGAGAAAAAUGUGAGGGUUUUGGAUCUCCAACCAACACUCUGUUUGUUUUGGAAGCAAAUGUACAAGAAAAUAUUGAGUGAACCAAUCUGAAAGUCUUCAAAUUGCAGAGUUGAAUCAUGUUAGAG